rnacentral:misc_RNA from 1 species
GAUGAAGAACGUAGCGAAAUGCGAUACGUAAUGUGAAUUGCAGAAUUCAGUGAAUCAUCGAGUCUUUGAACGCACAUUGCGCCCCCUGGUAUUCCGGGGGGCAUGCCUGUCCGAGCGUCAUUGCUGCCCUCAAGCACGGCUUGUGUGUUGGGCCUCCGUCCUCCUCCCGGGGGACGGGCCCGAAAGGCAGCGGCGGCACCGCGUCCGGUCCUCGAGCGUAUGGGGCUUCGUCACCCGCUCUUGUAGGCCCGGCCGGCGCUUGCCGACACAUCAAUCUUUUUUCCAGGUUGACCUCGGAUCAGGUAGGGAUACCCGCUGAACCUAAGCAUAUCAAUAAGCGGAGGA